UAUAAUAUAAUCGGUGUCAAAAAAAAAAACAAACAAACAAAUACAAAAUUCAGAAUAUUGCGUAACAGGAUUGCAAAACGAAUGUGAUCUCACAAGCACGUUGGGCACGUGAGAGCAACAUCACAAACAAUCUA